rnacentral:lncRNA from 1 species
CUGAAUAGUUUGCACAAGAAAUGAAAUUAUCGCACUUAUUCCACAGAUAUAGCCAUUGAGGGAAUGAAGCCAAAAUUCCAUCAUCUUUGCAAGAGAAGUUUUUAAGGACUCACUUAACCCUGUGAAGCUUCUGUCCACAAGCUCAUGGUCUUUUGCUUCGCUCUGAAAAGAACAAACUGAGAUUAUUAACCUUUGCUUAAUCUGACUACACAGCCUUAUAGAAAAUAAAAAGCAUUCUAGCCACUGAAUCCUUCCAGGAGAAAAAAAAAAAAAAAAACGAGCUGAAGACAGCCUUCAUUCCAAGAGUAUUUUGGGCCACUGAUUUUUAUCACCCAGAAAUCAAUCAGAAGGGCACACAAUGCCUAGAAAUCCCAAACCAGCUACUACAUCUAAGAGGUUCAUGAAUGAAGGCCACGGUGUUUGUGAAUACAAGAGAAGAGAGAAAAUGUGUCUCGCUAGCAAAAUUCAAAGGAGAUGCCCAUCAAGAAGAAAACAAAAGCUUUCCUCUGACACCAUCUGGCAUAAGAAAGGGGCACAGCUACUAGAAGGCAAGAAUAGAAGACCUUCCUCAGAGCCACCUGCCGACCUGAGCACCUUCAGUGCCCGCCGUGAUGUUGAAAACGCUACCAAGAAGUCUGGAUGGAACAUAAUAGAAUUAUUUCAACUAAUAUAUUAUCUUCAUGAAGGUCAAUUCUGAGCACAUAUGGAACAGCUUAUGAUGCUGAACUGCAAACCACAGAGAAUGAGAUAUUGGCAAAGGAGAUGCUAUAGAAAGAACAACAACAAAAAAAAUCCUGAUAGAUUCCUUAAUCAUAUAAGUCACUGGUGAACAAUAAAGCACUGUUAAGAUUGCUUUAGAAAUUAGGU